rnacentral:misc_RNA from 1 species
GUGAAUCAUCGAAUCUUUGAACGCACAUUGCGCCCGCCGGCAUUCCGGCGGGCAUGCCUGUUCGAGCGUCAUUUCAACCCUCAGCCCCCCGGGGCUGGUGUUGGGGCGCCCGGUGAAGCCCCGCCCCGCGGCCUGCUCCCGCAGCGCCGUGGGCGGGCGCCGGGGCCCCCAAGUCCAUCGGCGGGCUCGCCCGGACCCUGAGCGCAGUAGCACUGUCAAACGCUCGGAGGCUCCGCGGCGGGUACCCGGCCGCUAAACCCACCAACUUCACCAGAAGGUUGACCUCGGAUCAGGUAGGAAUACCCGCUGAACUUAAGCAUAUCAAUAAGCGGAGGA